rnacentral:rRNA from 1 species
GCACAAGCGGUGGAGCAUGUGGUUAAUUCGAUGCAACGCGAAGAACCUUACCUGGGCUUGACAUCCCUGGAAUCCCCUGGAAACAGGGGAGUGCCCUUCGGGGAGCCAGGAGACAGGUGCUGCAUGGCUGUCGUCAGCUCGUGUCGUGAGGUGUCGGGUUAAGUCCCAUAACGAGCGCAACCCUUACCGUUAGUUACCAUCAGGUUAAGCUGGGGACUCUAGCGGGACUGCCACCGUAAGGUGAGAGGAAGGUGGGAUGACGUCAAAUCAGCACGGCCCUUAUGUCCAGGGCUACACACGUGUUACAAUGGCCAGUACAAAGGGCAGCUACCGGGUGACCGGAUGCUAAUCUCUAAAGCUGGUCUCAGUUCGGAUCGAAGUCUGCAACCCGACUUCGUGAAGCUGGAUUCGCUAGUAAUCGCGCAUCAGCAUGCUGCGGUGAAUACGUUCCCGGGCCUU